UAGAAGAAAACACAAUCUAGUGAAUAACGGUUGUUGAAAAUGGAGUGAAUUUCUUGUACAUGUGUGUGAACAAGGUAGUUUGUGUGAAUUAAUAAUGAAAUUUAUUGCAGUCUUUAGAAGAAACUAUGUACACGAAUAUGCAUUAAGCUGUGGAUAGGAAGAUGCGGAGUGGAAAGUGUGAAACUUUACAAUAGUAGCGUCCAAUUGUAAGACCAGAUAAUAAAGAAACAUUAUAGAAGAUGGGUAGAAAAGUGCAAUUGAAAGUUGGUGCAAUUGGAGUAAAGGUGUUAUAAAAAGAAUCGGGAUUUAAUACAAAUUGAAAGUUACAAUUUCGCCCACAAAAGUCUUAACUCCCUUAAAUGUACACAUACCUAUGUAUACAUACAGUCAUGCACACCAUCUACAGACUGAUUGGAAGGCAAAACUACGAGUAUAACAAGGGAGUGAUUCCGGCUAUACAGCGCCUCCAAAGCCAUAUGUAAAUGGUUGUGCAAUAAACUGCUGUGUAGAGUAUUUGUAAGUACGUAUUUUAAAGAAUUACUCUAAAAAACCAAGAACGAAUUACCUCUCUUGUAAGAAAUGCAUUCAUGUCAAAUAAAUAUAU